GCACUGCUGAGGAGUCCCACAAUAGGACGAAACGAGCGUCCAGUAC
rfam:Schistosoma rodhaini strain Burundi genome assembly, scaffold: SROB_scaffold0004845